UGAAAAAUCUUGUGAAAGCCUCAAUAUCAGUAGGAAGCAGCGCGAGCUUAAAUGAUCGCCACUCGAGUGUGGCGGAGCCGUGGCAGUAGCUGCUUUCGUAUUUUCCCUUGCUUGGAAUUUUACAUUGGAAAAAGUUUCUGGUUCUUACGGUGGCAAAGUCUGUAGGGUAGUUUACAGGGAGGUUUCUAACUUCAGGCUCGUUAAUGGUUGUAAAGGCUUGCCUGGACACUCCCCGUAUCUUGCUCCAGGGUAUGAAUUUAUUUGAUUUAACCCACGGUGAGUUGAUGGAGCAGCUUCUGUCUCCGUAAGGGUAUCUCUCCUGGCUCUGUGGCUUCUAGGAUUUCCUAACAUCGUAGCACUGGUGUUACUUACACUGGGUUUCUGCCAAGUUCUGUAUUAGGACUUGUGUUAGGACAGGGCACGUGCUUGUAAAGCAGUUUGCUCCGUGUCCUGAGCUUCCUAAUCGAUAAGCUGGGGGUUUUUGGUAUGGCCUGUCGCUGUUCUUAAUCACGGAGCUGACUUUGGUUGAUGCUGACAGCUUUCCACCAGCAAGUCCGUUUUGAAUUAAUGAACAUUUUGGAUAAUUUCUGUAACUGCCAUUUUCAGGAAAACAAUUGUGAUUUUGGUCUGAAAGCUUCGCCCCGUGCCAGCCGUGAGCAGCGGGCCCCCUCUGGGUACGGGUGGCUGCAGCAUCGCCCCUGACCUUCAGCUUGUGAAAAAAAAAGCAUGCAAGAAAUGCUGUGCUGCAGGCAUGAACCCUCCAGAGGCCGAGCAUGCAGUGCUGGUGGGAAACCCUUCCGCCUGCAGCCACCCUAGUGCACAAACAGACCCAACGUAACGCCUUCCUAGCUCAGCUUCUGCGGGAUUUCCAGCCCGUGGUUGGGUUACUUCCUUCAUCCUACACUUGAACUCUGCGUUUGAUUGCUUUUUAUUUCGUAUUGUUCCUCGUUGUCUGUGACACCAGGAUGUGAUUUCUUCUUCGUCACCUCUUCCCUCCUGUAGUUUCUCCCCAUGUGUAAUUUUUUGACGCGUGUAUUGUUUUUUGUACUGCAUCCUGGCAGAGAGCUUGUGUCAUGAAGUUUUGGUUCAGCAGGGUUGUCCUGGAGAUGCAGAGGGAUGUGCCCCAAACAGCAGGACGUGUCACAGCCACAGGCACUACGUGCACAUCUUGCACAAGCAAUAGGGCUGCUCUUGGUGCUGAGUGUGAUGUGUCAGGGGAUGGUUCACGGGGGUGGUAGCAGGGGGUGUUCUGGCUCAUUUGGAAAACAAGCUUCAGUUUCCUUUGAUGUAAUAAUUUCAUGAAUCAAAAAGGAAAAUGAGUAAUAAACAUUAAGGAUUAUUUAGAGCGUUAUAUUUUCAGAGCAUCGUGCAAUCGUUUAUUCUGUCCCUUUGACCCCGUGCUGUCUGUAGCGAGGUGAGACCAGUAAGUACAGCUUCUGCCCCUGCCUCAUUUACUGCUAGGGUUUGAGCUGUUGCUCUGGUCAGAUGAUGUCUGCUUCUCCAUAAGCUUCUGCUGGCUGUUCAGUUCAUCGCUAGAGCUGUGCGCCCUCCCAGCAGGUUGGUAAGUCGUGUUUUAACGCAUUUCAGAUCUCACCAGGCAGGGAGAGUGGCAGAUGGUGCUGUGUAGGGGUGGCACCGCUUGUUUGUAGGAAGUGCAGGUGUGCACAGAGCAUGCCACCUAGAGGAAUGGAGCUGGCAAGGCUGGACGGAGCCACGCUUUGCUGGCAAAACGUAGGUGGCUGUGAGAGUGGCUGUGUCGAGACCUUCUCCGUGCAGUGCACGUUGUGGCCCUGCCUCUGAUACGAAGGUCCCUGCACAGCCAGCUUUCCAUCAGCUCCUCAAAAAAAAAGCUUCACAACUUUUUACCUGAGGUUACUGUUGAUGAUUUCGCAUUCUACUUAUGUUGAUCCUCAUCUUUCACUGAGCCUCGAGAAUCUGAAAUUAAGUGGAGGAUCUCACCUCAGAUAUUUUCUGGGAAUUAGGGUGAGGAAUCUAGCACAAGGUGUGAGUUGAUGGGAUAAUGCUCUCUAAGCUCUGUGCUUUUUUUGGCUUGUAUGUUGCAAUUUCUUUUGCAGGAGACUAAUAAAUUUCCCAGAAGAUUAUCCUAAUUUCCAAAGUCUCAAAGUCUGAGUUGUAAUUAAGCACUUAAUUUGAUGAGGUUUUUUAAAUGUGUUGCUGGUCUGCUGGCAGCUUGGGGAAAUGGUUCCAUCUGCAGCCCAGCUUCCCUCGUGUGGGUUCAAGCUCACAAAGCCGAUGUAUAUUUAGAAGUGCCAGAACUUCAGCCUACCAGACAGGCCUCAGAAAAUUGCUCCAAAUUCAUGCUUUCUGGAUGGGUUAAAGCCAGAUUUGAAAGAAGUCCACCUUCUUUGAAGAAGCUCAAGUGAUCGUUAGGGAGAUGGCAGAUUUCCAUUAACGCCUGGGCAGUGAGCAAUUUUAAUAAUGCAUCUGAUUGCUUACAAAUUACACUGAGCUCCCCCAUUUCCACAAAUUGCAGCAAUCAUUCCAUCCAAGAGGGAAGCUAUUAUUUUAUUUCUUUGAAAUGAAAACGCGUUUCUUUUUUAGUUCGUGUUUACCGUCCUCUGUUCUUUGUGAGCUGAGCCUGCAUCUUGCCUCUACUAGCGAGGUAGUUUCCCCGAGAGCCAGAAGCACAGAGCCAGCUGCUCUAACGGGGCUGUCGUCAUCGGAGGAAAGGUUUCAUGGUGUCGUGCUGGUAAGCUCUGCUCUUCAUGGGACUCCCAUGCAGUGGUUUCUGUGGUCAGUGAACUGCUGAAAGCCAGAAAGGGACAGUAGCUUGUGCUGGUCCUGCAGCACAAGGGGCGGUGGUGGAGGUUUGGGAGGAGUGGUCCAGGUCCAGCUUUGAUGUACCUCGUGUGCAGCAUGAGCAGUGCUUCGGCAGCCCAGAAGGGCACCCUCCAAACUCUGCUGACGUGCCCUGCUGAACUUCAGGUGCUGGAAUACAUUGGGGAGGUUUUCCUGUGUGGGCUGAGCUAAUUUUCCUUGUAGUCAGGGACGAGGAGCUUGUAUAUAGUCAGGAACAGUAACUCUACAGUGCAGUAACUUGAUGAUUUCCACCAUGUGUUCCUUUCUGUGGUCUCCUAGCCCAAGCCAGGCCACCAUCCAACGUUGUGAUCAUCCAGCGAGCCAGGGAAUUGUCAGGUAACCAUGUGGCAGGCUUGACCAGACGGUAUUUCCUCUUUAGGACAGAAGUCUGGUUUUGAUCCACGUUGGAGUAACGUGUGUCACAAGAAGGUCGUAACCAGUGACUUAGGCUCAUGGGAAUCUGAUACAGAAAUGAUAACGACCAGGCAGAGGUUUUCUGUUUCAUGCUAUUUGAGGUCAUAGCUUCCAGUUGACUCUGAUAAAAUUUGUGUCUUCUGCUAAGAUUUCUCUCUGUUAAUUUAGAAAUCCUGCCCUUUUCAACCCUCCCCAGAGUUAAAACUUUUGUGCUCAAAACCUCAGAAGCAGGCUUGAAGACUUCAUUACGCUGUGCCUCUGCGGUGACCCCCACAUAUUUCCAUCGAGACAUUAGGAUGGCCUUCCCAUUUCCUCCUAUUCUCAGUUUAACUUUUCCUGUUAUGGGAAUACCAAAAAAAAAGAAAAAAGAAGAAAAAUGCAAUUAGUCAUAUGUUAAAACAACCAGACUAAAGCCAGUAGGAAGAGAAUCCUCUCGGUGAUGCUUUAUGGGGCUGCGGCCGGAGCUGUUGGGUAUGUUGUCCACUCACACGUUUAACAGGCCUGCUCCGUGGCUCCCUCCUUACCACACAUCCCUUUUUGCUGAUAACUUUCUGUCCUCCAGGCUACUGACAGCUGUUGUCCACUCGCUGCUAAUUAAGAAAGCAGCAUGAGCGAUGGCAAUGUGGUCUGGAGAGAUUGAGCCCCCCUGGCUGCAGCAAAGCGUUUCAGCCUGAUUAAAAAGUCUGAGUGACAGCUGAGCGGCCUUUUUUUCCUCCCCUGUCUGUUGAGCUUCUCUGUAGAUAGCCUGUUUGCUAUCGAAACUCUCAUGUCGGGCACCCUCUGUAUCUCAGUGGUUUUUAGAUCCUGUAACAAUAAGCAAUGUCAGAACAGAUUUACUAUUGAAAAAGGGGGCACGUGUGAAAUUUAAGCAGCUAUAAAGCCAUGUAUUUAACAUGCAAAGUGUCGUGUACAUCUGUGCUGUUACAUAGAAAUUCAAAUGUAGGUCAUUUUUUAAACGAAAUGAUGCUUACUUUGUUGAAAAUGUAAAACUAGAUAGAAAAUCAAGAUUAUCAUGAAUGAACAGCACUUAAGUAGACGGAUUGAGUGGAUUUCAAAGAUGCUCCCUGUUUGUUUAAGGAUUUUCCCUGUCUGUUUUGUUUCCUUCUUUGGUUUCCUUGUUUUGUUUUCCCUUGUUUUUCAUCGGGUCUCAAUGGGUGAUCUUUUGUGUACUGGUUGUGCUGUGAUUUUCAAGAUGCAGCAGGAGCAUGGGCUUGAACUCUGGAAUUCCCUUUCUGGGCUGUGCUUCUAUGGAGAUAAAAUGGGAAGACUGACAUUAAGAUAAUAAAAGAUUGUUGUUUUAAUAGACAUUGAAUUAAGGUGAUGGUGGUUUGGUGGAAGCCGCUUCCUCCUGAACCAGUGAUGCUCUCUGGAGCUGCUUACCCCCAGGAAUAUUGUGACUCUCUGUAUUUCUGACUAGACCUGCAAAAUUCAAUCUGAAAUCUUGUUUGCAGGAAGUGGGGUCUGUGUACCCCCUAGCACGCUCUGCAGGCACUGCCCUUUCCUCUCAUAUCUGGACUAUAAUUCCUUCCUGUUGUGAUUUUUCUCAUGCUUGGCUGUUACCUUUUAUCUUGGAGAUGAUUGUUUCAUGAUACAGAACCACAGCACAAGCAGAUCUUCUCUUUAAAAGCACGGUGUGUAUAGGAGUAAAAUGGUUAUGUUACAAAUCACUGCCAAACUCUGCUCCUUAGGUGUGUGCAAAUCCUUUAACUAAUGAUGUCUGCCACAGUAUGAUUGAACAGCAGAAGCAAGUCUAGCGGGAGGAAGGUGUGCCUUUGACUCUACUUGCUCCUUGUCACCUUGCGUGCCCAUCACUUUGCCUCGUGAUCACCUUCUGGAGGAAAUCCUGGAGCAUUUGACUUCAGCUUUUCCAAUAAAGAAGGGUUUUAUGUGUGUUGAACAAGAGCUGCUCCACCAGUCAGCGCUGAAAAUAUUCAGCUGAAUACUUUCAAUACUAAAACAAUAGGAAGUGCUGCAAAAUGUGUUGUAUUUAUAACUAACCAAACCAGGCAGAUUUUGGGGGAUAUGGGUGGUUCGGUGAAAGUGCUGUGAUGUCCUUGGGAAGCUUUUUGUUUUCACUUGAAGAGAGCAGAUGCUGAUAUGGUGCAAAUAGAAGAGAAAUCCUAUCACCAGAUCGGCCCCGAGUCCCCAAGCUGUAAUCUGUAAAUAAAGUGAUUUAUGGGUAUUAUAAUGAAAAUGGUGUUUUUUUCUCCAGACAAAAUACUGUUUCCAGAUAGCUCUCUCAUUAUUACACUCUGGUUUGGCUACUAAUUUUAUGAAAUAAGCCUGGUAAAUGUAAGGUUGGAAAACUAAUGUUUCUUUAUCCUCUGCCAGUAAGAAUUUAUGGAGACACCAAAUCCCAAUCCGUCUUGCUGUGGGAGCUAAUUAAGACUAUAAGGGAAUGGUUUCUUGGUUCAAAAUGUUGAAAACGACUGUAAGCAUUCAUUCUGUUACAUCUGGAGAGCUUGUUACGGAUGGCGAGAUUGAUUGUGCAGGCUCAUUUGCUGUGAGCAUCGGUUGUUUCUUUCCAGUAACCUGAUUAUUGCUUGGCCAGCUUUGCCAAACUGUUUACUACCUGCUGCUGGUGACUGGCAGUGCACGCUUCCAGCAGAUUAUAGGAAUAUUACGCUGCUUCGGGAUCGUGGUUAGUCCUUUUGUCCUUUGUUGUCAGUCAGGGUGACAUCGGGAAUGGAGCUGCCAUCCUCCAGGUAGGUCUCCCACCAACAGCGACAUGUUUUUACAUCUGUUCUGCAUUAGCUCUUCGUGUGACUGAUGGCAAGCGUCAGUUGCUCUGGCUACCCACAGCUUAUCCUUUUAUGCCAUGAAUUUAUGGCCGCCUAAAAUGAAAAACCACCACGCGGUCAUUUCAGAGGCACAGAGGUGGCGGAUUUGACAUUAAAGGGGUGACAGAAACAUUCUGCAAAUUCCUGUGUAAAUUCCUAGGUGCCUGUUUGGUGGCAGGUUAGGCUUAGUUCAGCCUGAAGUCCUAAUGAAAGCCUAGAGCUCUGCUGCUAGCUCUGCAGUUGGUUUGCCUUCCACUGGGUGUGUGAAUGGGCAAAGUAUUUCAGUAGAGCUGGCGCUUCUUGGUUGGAUGGUUUUGCAAAUUUAGACAUGGUUCUUAAGGGAGAGCAAAUUUUCAGUGCAAAAAUUUUGUGAACGGGCCACUGGGUGUUAGGGAGAGUGCCUGCAAGAAAGUCUCCUUGGAGGUUUGUCAGCUACUUUUGUUCAGCAGAGCUGGACUUUAUCUUUUAAUCUUUAAGAAACAGCUUCCCAUAUAUGUGAGAAUUAUCCCAAAUAUUUCCUUUUAUUGCCAAUUUGGAUCCUAAUUAGCUUAAUCCACUUUGCAAGUGUACAGUGUUUACAGGAAGUUGAUUGGGAAUAUGACGCUUGUGUUCCCAACCUUCACCUUGAUUUGAAUCGACUUACCUGGGUGGAAAAGCCCUUUCAUUUGGAAGUCUAAAUUGUGAGGUUCUUGUGGCUUUGAGCAUUAUUACAUUUUAUCAUGAUAAAUUACUGGUGUAUUAUGGUUUCAAGUGAUCUCCCUUAAAGUAUAGAUUCUUCCAGCUGCCAGAAAAACAGCUCAGCUCUUCUCCUGCUUCAUUCUCUGCCAGCGAAUAGCAAAUUAUCCUCACUGUGCUUGAAGUAUUGAAGUCAAGGAAGCAUUUUCUAUAGAUUUUUAAUUCUCUUUUAUAAGUGAUUGAAGCCCUGUUGAAAACAUCUUCUUUGAGGGGCUUCUUUCAAGGUUUCCGUGUGAAUGGGUUCAGCUUCACAAUUUAAUGUUGUGACUGCUAUAUACAGCGUUUUGUUUAGGUUUUUAAAUAAAAUAGCAAUCAGGCAGUUUUGUUGAGAGCUUUUUGGAUCUAUGUCUUGUGUAUAAUACAAUGCUCAGGAUGGAUGGGGAAAUGCUCUGUGUUGUUCAGACUCACAGAGGCUGGAGGAGUCUUCUCUGGAGGAACUCGGGGCUCCUGAUGUAUUUUUAUGAAGCAGGUCUUCCCAAGUCAACGUGCCUCUUUCAGAUUUUUUUUGAGGCAUUUUCGUGUUUUGCAAUGCUGUGUAAGAUACAUCGCUGGUUUUCAGGUUAAUGAAGAAUGAUGGCACAUUGAGUGCUUUCAAAGACUUUCCUGAGUGCAGAGUUGCCAGAAACGGAGUGGGAAAGAUACCUUCCAUCUGUCAUUCUUCUACAGGAAUCGGCAGUUCAGAAGUGGAUGCAGCUGAGCGUUACUUGCUGAGCAUCAGAGCAAGGUUAAUGAGUACACGGAGAGCGACAGGGGGACACUUAUCUCCUAAAUGGGGAGGGAGACAAGUUGAUUUUGUAGGAUAAGUCCUUAAAUAGGGCAGAGAGGAAAGGUGAGUUUCCCCAAAAUGUAUACUAAAAUAAACGAGGUCUGAGCUCAGAUCUGAAAUCUUGCUGUGAGACCGUGUAGGGCGUAGCAGGAGAGUGCUCCUUGCGGGGUGCAGGUGUUUGCUGAGGCCCCGUAGUCGCUGGUUGCAGUGUUUGGCUGCUUAUACCCCUCUCCCACGGUACAGGACUACUGCCGAGCAGCACCCCAUCUCCUCCUCUUCCUCCUUCUUCAUUCCUCUUCAUGUACACACUGUGAAUUGUCAGAUAAGAACAGAGAAAAUGUCAAGGUCUGUGGGCUAGCACUGCCCGCCCCCCUUUUCCCUUAUUGCAGUGUCCUAGAGAGAUACUAUCCCAGGCAUAAGUACUUUUUAAUUCAUCUGAUAUUAGGUAGCCAUUAUAAAGCUAUAAUAUUUAGCGAGGCUGCCACAAAGCUUAGUCCUAGAUGCUUCAUACACUGCAAAAUGGAAUUAUUUAACGUGGAUCCUACCAAGUCAGUUCUUGCAGCGUUACAGGUGGUGGUUGGCGUGUGGUUUACAGGGUUUCUUGUUGCCACGCUGCAGCGUGAUUUUUGAUACUUAUUUUUUUUUUGGCUUGUUGGCUGGACCCAGUCGAAGGCUGCUGGUUUCUGACAGGGGAAGUACAGCUUCCCUUGGGACAGAGCUGCAGCUUGCGUGGGGUGGUCGUGCAUUAUCAGAUGGUGAGGUUAAACGCAGAAGCUCUGGGAGGUAUUUACCCCGGUAAGAACGGCACCAGGGAUGUUUUUAUAAACACGCCUUUGUGUCUUUUGGAGCCCAGCUGCCACGAAACGCUAAAUCCGCUGCAGAAGUCAGUAUGUCACUGAAUGGGUUUGACACCGAAAGAGCAUGAAGUUAAUCAGGCUAAAGCUCUGACAAAGCACCAGGCUUACCCCGACGGAAAGGCAAACGCUCUCUGGACGCGCUGGAGCGUAGCCUGGCCUGACCCGGGGCUGCCAGACCCCGCGCACGUCCUGGGGCCUCGUGGGCUGAAGUUUCUCCUGGCAGACCGCUCCUCGCUUGCCAAAUGGACCGAGUGAGCUCCCAAAAUAUUGCUUUUUGUGCCACCAGCUGAAAUCAGUAUCGAUUCACCUUUCGGCUCUGGUCAGCAGGAUCGCCAGACGAUCGCCCGUUUGUUUUGCAGAGACGUAAAUAGCUUUGGCAGUUGUGGUUUUGCUGCUUUGUCAAAACCAACAUUAAAUCUAAGUACCGUAGAAAGUUAUUUCUUAUUUACAGAUUCCUAAAGUCUCCCUGCCGCAUAAUGUGGGCAGGGGGCUUUGAAACGUGCUUUUUCACUGGAUCGUGGCCUUUGAACGCGUUCGCCCUGUGUCCCCACAACAGGUACGUCCUGCGGGCAGGAGCUCGCUUCUGAAACGUGAUGCCCUGCUCUGCAUGGGAUGUGAUAGCCGAGCUGGGAAUUCAAGAUUUAUUCAGUGAUAAAUGAAUUGUUUCAGCAUGGAGUGUGAAGAGAUGCUGAGAUAAGGUUCAACUUUGUCUCUGAUAAAAUACGGGUCUUGUUUUAGCUCCCUUUACCUAUCACCCUCCUUGCUGUAUGUUAGCAUUAAAGGCGUUUCUUCUCGAAAUGCAAGCUGACUUCCUGUAUCAGUAAACUGGAAGCUCAUUAAAAAUUAGAAACUGGUUCUUAGUAGGGCCCACUUUUGGUAAUUUCCAGGAACUGCUUAAAUACAGCCAGGGUGAUUACAAGAAAUAAGGUUGCACUGGAGCAAAGAGUUAAGCUCAGCUGUCCCCUUCUUAAGUGGGUUUUCAGACUCAUCACCGCAUUAGGCAACGUAAUACUCGGAAAUAGCUGGGAAAUAGCUGCUUUUUCUUCAGCACUGAAUUAACAAGUAAAAUUCUAGCGAGUGUUUCCAUGCUAGUGAGGCCUCAAGGCUUCAAAAGGCUUGAUUGCGUUGUAGUCAGCAUGUAUUUCUUCAGAUUCCUGCAGUGCUGCUGCUGGCACUUGUAGGGAUCUGUAAGGGUUUGCCUCUGCACAAGCUCGUUGUUCUCUUAUCUUUUUAAAAAAAUAUAUUUUUCUUGUUUUAAAGUCUGGAUUUGCUGAGAAGACUGAGGAGAGCUGCAGGUAUUUGUAGCCUUCGCUUUGAAACCUGCUAUCUGUGGGAGUGAUGUGAGCAGGCAGUUUUAAUUCAGGCAGGGGGAGGUAGGACGAAAUGGAAUUGCCACCAAGAAUUGUUUACUGCUGAAGAACCUUUUAAUGUUUAUGUGCAGUGGUGUGAAAGAUGGACACCUCGCUUAGACUGCUUAAGCUCCCUGAUGUUUCCUGCCACCACGGCCUAGGUAUGUGCUAAUCCUGCAGCUGACAAAGACGAGGGUUAGUAUUUCCUCUUCCUCCUGGGCUGCUCAGUUCAAUUAACAUCUCGGUUUCCCUUUGCUGGAGGCGCUGAUGUUUCAAAUUGUGCUUAUAGAAGACUAAAAUUUCCUACUGCCUGUAGGCAGGCAAUAAAAGCCGUGGUUUGUUUGCAGAUCCUAUCAGGUGCAGAACCGAGGCUGUGGCCUGCAGCUCCUUAACCCUUUGUGGCAGCAGCACUGCAACGGUGCGAGGGCAGCUUCUGACCCCAUUGCAGCCGAAAUCUCACACCUGCAGCCCUGCUCUGUCGCUUUGCACACAGGCUUGCCUCUCUGUGUGGAGACGGAGAGCUGGCCCUUUGGGGCAGCAGCACGGAGCACUUCAAAGGCGAGGGAUUUGCAUAGCCCUCCUGCGAUGCUUUUGUGGGAAAUGUGAGCCCCCAGCGUGGUGCGGCGGAGUUGUGCAGACUUGUUUAAUCUCCCAGAACCCAAUAUCUGCGUUUCAGCAUCUGAGCCCCGGGGACACGGCGCCAGUCAGGACAGGGAGAAAUGAGGAGUUAGCUCAUCUCCUAGCGUUCAUGGAAAAGAGCUUACAUCACAUUCUCACCUGGACUGCUGCCCUUGAUCUAUGGCACUCGCUAAAGAAGGAAAUAAAAUCGAGCGUGUUUAAGCACA